rnacentral:rRNA from 1 species
UGGGGAAUAUUGCACAAUGGGCGCAAGCCUGAUGCAGCCAUGCCGCGUGUGUGAAGAAGGCCUUCGGGUUGUAAAGCACUUUCAGCGAGGAGGAAGGUGGUGAACUUAAUACGUUCAUCAAUUGACGUUACUCGCAGAAGAAGCACCGGCUAACUCCGUGCCAGCAGCCGCGGUAAUACGGAGGGUGCAAGCGUUAAUCGGAAUUACUGGGCGUAAAGCGCACGCAGGCGGUUUGUUAAGUCAGAUGUGAAAUCCCCGGGCUCAACCUGGGAACUGCAUUUGAAACUGGCAAGCUAGAGUCUCGUAGAGGGGGGUAGAAUUCCAGGUGUAGCGGUGAAAUGCGUAGAGAUCUGGAGGAAUACCGGUGGCGAAGGCGGCCCCCUGGACGAAGACUGACGCUCAGGUGCGAAAGCGUGGGGAGCAAACAGAUUAGAUACCCUGGUAGUCCACGCUGUAAACGAUGUCGAUUUUGGAGGUUGUGCCCUUGAGGCGUGGCUUCCGGAGCUAACGCGUUAAAUCGACCGCCUGGGGAGUACGGCCGCAAGGUUAAAACUU